ensembl:lncRNA
GUGGAUACAGGAGCUUACAAAAGUGCUGUAAGGACUUGAGGAAUGGUCUCCUAACUGAGCUUCUGAGAAAGAUUCCCAGGGCUCCCAGAAAGACCUCGUCUUGGCCAAGGCAGUGGGGACGCAGGAGGCUGUCAACAGUAGCACAGAGCUGAAGAACACCUCGGGGCUCCCCUGGUGGCCUAGUGGUUAAGAAUCCUCCUGCCAAUGGAGAGAACACAGAUUCGAUCCCUGGUCCAGGAAGAUCCCACAAGGAGCAACUAAUCCCAUGUGCUGUAACUACUAAAGCUUAUGUGCCCUACAGCCUGUGCUCUGCAACAAGAAAAGCCACUGCAAUGAGAAGCCUGCACACCACAACAAAGAGUAGCCCCCACCCACCACAACUAGAGAAAGCCCGCAUCCAGCAAGGAAGACCCAGCACAGCCAAAAAUAAAGAAAUCUUAAAAAAAAAAAAAAGAACAGCUCAGUCAAUGAUCCCAAGAUCAGAGGGUCAAUCAGCCCCCCAUCUGCCUCUUCUGUCCCCACAGCUGGUGACUGGACUUAACAAUGUGCUGCUUGAACCCCAUCACCACCGCCCUGCUUGCCAGCAGGGAAACCAACAAGAGCAACCAGCUACUUGGUCUCUCCUCCACUUGGUUACAGAUCCUGCCCACAUGUACGUUAUAAAGGAGUCUGGGAAAUGCAGUUUGUGGUUUUCCACUCUUUAGACCUAAGUGAGAACGGGUCCUGAGCACCAACUGACACCAACUGACAGAAGGAUAUUCCAAGAGAACACUGUUGUCUUCUUUGUGGUUAGAUCUUCUGCACAGACCCCAGUGCCUGACUCCUAGUAAGCACUCAAUUAGUAUUUGAAUGAGUGAAAAGAGUUUCAGAAUUCGCUUCAAGGCAACGGCCUCACUUUCUUAGCUCCCCAAAUAGGACCUAGAAGCAAGGGCUACAAACCCUUUUCUGGCUAGCAGCUCAAUUCUCUUGCCCUUUUGCCUCCUCACCACCAGCUCUGCAAUACCUUGGUAUGCCAGAACUUUCCAGUUUGAGCACUAAAAUUUCCACUGUCCACGAAACUCCUCAUCAGCAAACCGGGAUGGUCACGCCAGCAUCCCAUCCUCAGAUGGUGAGCGUCCACCACUCACAGAUUUAGAGUAGAAGUCGUGCUGAAUGGAUGGGAAAAAUCAUCCCACACUCUUGUGGUUUUCAACAUCAGCUGGCCCCUUACUGCUGCUUGGCAUGCUAUUUCAGGACUGCGGUCAGUUCCUUUCAAAAGCCCCUUCACCCCUUCCACCCUCACAGCUUUCUUCUAUCCAAACACCACACUGGAGCCACUUCUCAUCGACUGACCUUGCAGUUGAUUGAGUGAUCUCUUGCAACCUUCCACCUUCCCCUCCUGUCCCACACCUUCCUGGGCCAUCCACUCCCCAUUUGCCCUCUUGUCUCCACCCUUUCAUCAACCUCUCUCUACCUUCAGGGACUCCUCCUCCUUCAGCUUGUAAACAUGUUCAUUCUCUUCCAUCUUAAAAAUAAAGAAAACCAAAAAACCCGUUCCACCUGAGAUCCCCUGGACUUAACCAGUCUUUCGCUCUUUCUCCUUUCAUGUGAAGCUGGGAUUUCAGAAAGGGAGAGACUGCAACACGUGCUUCAGGUCCUUCAGUGUCUCAAUUAACUCAAGAUGCCUCCACAGGUGUCCCCUCCACCCCACACCCUUUACACAGUGAGACUCAGUGCCAUACUGGAACCUGAAACAAAGGAAACUUCAUUAAUGUGGAUACUGUCUUUAGUGAGAAUUCUGAUAUUUUCUUCAUCAUGGAUUUUUAGCAUUCAUGUCAAUUUUUUCAAAAUCUUGCAUUAAAAUAUUAUUUAUCUCGAUUUUUCACACCCCCUUAAAUGAUGGGCCUGAAAUGAGUGCCUCACUCGCCUCACCCGAGUGUCCUCACCUGAUGGUGCUCUUCUAGAGGCCUUGGUGGCCUCCUAGUGGCCAAAUCCAUGGUCACAGGGAAGUCAUUUUUUACCCAAGCAUUUAGAUACUCUUCCUUGAAACUCUUCUCCCUUGGCUGACUUCACACCACUACAUUUUACACUGUUUCCCUCUAACCUUCUCCAACCCCUCAGCACUCUUUCUGUACCUGCUUCUUAAAUGAGGGGGUGCCCUAGCAUCCAUCUUUCUCGCUGGCCUGUCUGUUCCUCCUGCCUGUGGCCUCCCCAUCUCCAAAGAGAUCUAUCAGAAUGAACUUUCUGAAGUUCAUGCUUGGACCAAAGCACUGUCCUAACUUCAGACCUUUCAAUGACUCCUAUCUCCCAUCGCAGGUUCCAAUUUCCUUUGCAUUCAAGACUCUUCCAGGUCUGGCACCUGCCUUUACCUCUCAUUAACACACACCUCGCACAUUUGGCUUCAAACCAACCUCAACAAGGAGUUCUUACCCACACCUUUGCACCUUUGCCUGGAUUACCUGGCAAAACCAUGCUCAGCUUGCAGGGCCAGCUGAAGUGUUUCCUACAUGUAAAGCUUUUCUGGGAAGAACUCACCCAGACUUGGUCAGUAGCUCCUUUGUUCCAUCACCAUAUUAUGUAUAUAAAGCUUUGUGGCACCCAGCAUAGCCCCAGUAGGUGACAGUAAAAUGUCACUUUAUCAGGCUUUUCAAUGUUUCUCACAGAAUGCCAGCUUUGCCAGCAAACCAUCUGGUAUCAAAAGCACGUAACGUUCCCAGUAGCAUAACUGCCAGUAUGACUGGUCCCCGGCAUACUUAAACCUAUUCCAGGACAGAUACACUUAGUAUUCCCUUCUUUGUACAGCUUUGCUCAUGGCAUGGCAGGUCAUGUUCACUGAGGCAGGAGAGCAAGUCAUGUUCACUGACCCACAGCAUGCAAGCAGAUGUAAUUUCCCAGCAAUACAAAACAACUGAGUAGCAAUGUGGAGAAGCCUGCCUUCCCAGCUGCAGAAAGCAGCAUGUAAACCUGGAACUUUCAGGUGUCUGGGAAUCCCCACUGAGAUAUGAAGAUGAAGUGCCUGAGAGAGUCAUCCAGAAGCUUCUAAAGAGAUAAAGGAAGAAAGGGUUACAUGAUCCUGACCACGUUAUGGGAGUUCAGUGCAUCCACGCUGAACGUCACAGGACCCAUGCUCCUCCUCCUCCAUUUGUGUACAGAACCUGUGGAUGUGGGCUCUGUGUGUGGCAAUUUGAGCAGCCAAUAUAACAAAAGCAGCUUUUCUCCAUCCAUAGGCAUUUUAACCCUAAGAUAGUACACAAGAUGGCAUUUUGUGCCCACUAUUUAAAAUAACAUGCUUAGUAACAAAUCGUCACGUGGGUCCUGAUUUCUGGAAUGCUGCAGAAACGGUCUAGAAGACCAUGUAUUAAAGCAGAAGCAUAAAUGCAUUCCACUUUGGAAUUAUUUAUUGCGCAUUUUAAAUUUUUCAUAUGUUUCAUUUUUUUAAUUUAAUAUUUAAUGCAUACUUUUACCCACUGAUACAUUAUGUAUAUGAAAAUACAUAAUGUAUCAGUGGCUGUGCUGUGCUUAGUCACUCAGUUGUGUCGACUCUUUGCAACCCCUGCAGACUGUAGCCCACCAGGCCCCUCUGUCCAAGGGGAUUCUUCAGGCAAGAAUACUGAAGUGGGUUGCCAUGCCCUUCUCCAGGGAAUCUUACCAACCCAGGGAUUGAACCCGAGUCUCCCACAUUGAAGGCAGGUUCUUUACCAACUGAGUCACCAGGGAAGCCCAUCAGUGACUAAGAGGAUGCAUUAAAAAAUUAUUAUAUUUGGCUUCCCAAUCAUACAUUUUAAUUAUAGCAAAUUGCCCAGAAAUUAUAGUUGAUCUCAAUUAUAAAAUGACAUAAAAUUAGAAGGUAUAUCUUAUAAAGUUCUUUGAUGAAGCUCAGCCCCAUGACUCUCAUGGAAACUCCUACAAAUUUCAACAUAACAUUACCUCACAUCACUUCUCUGAUUCACAAUAGCUGGAUACAGGCUGCAGAAAAUGCGGGAAUGAAAGAAUCCCAGAAGGAGAAAGAAUCUAGACCAAAAGGAGAUGGUGAGUCAUCUAACCAUACUGAAACAUGAGCAGAGUCACUAGGGAAAACUACUUAAUGCAGUGGCCCCACUCCUCCUGAAUCAAAGCAAAUUUUCACUAGGGCAAACUUCCCCUAGAGAGCGCAAGCACCCAAAAUUAUCUCCCCUCCCUUACCUACUUUCUUCUUGAGUAUUGUCAUAUGUGGUAAGCUCCCACUCAUCUACAUUAAGUUGUAGAGGAGUCCUGGCCAGGACUGCCAAGUUCACCCUCCUAGGCCUUGAACAGACUGGUCAUCAUCACAGGGCCCCAGCAGGCGGGCACUUGGGUCAUGCCUACUCAUCCUUACAUCAUCUACAAGGAAGCAAGAUGAAGAUGGUGGUAGAAUGAGAAACAAGCUUAGAACCUGAUUGUCAGAUCCAGGAGACAGAGCUUGUGAAAGGAAGAUUUUGCAAUUCUAUGGGGUAACAAUGUUGUUGUUUAAGAACUAGGAGAGGCUCAAUGGGGGCUUCACUGUUGGCUCAGUGGUAAAGAAUCUGCCAACCAAUGCAGGAGAUGCAGGUUCAAUUCCUUGGUUUGAGAAGCUUCCCUGGAGUAGGAAAUGGCAACCUGCUCCAGUAUCCUUGCCUGGAAAAGUCCAUGGAUAGUGGAGCCUGGUGGCUACAGCCGAUGGUGUCACAAACAGUCGGACAUGACUGAGUGACUGAGGGCACACACUGUAUCGAAUACGGUAGUGCAGUAUCACAAGCCCAGGACGUUCACUUGAUGCCAGCCCCCGUAGGCCAACUAUUUACUGGACUACUGUACUUUCAAAGUACUGUACUGUAAGCUUUAAAAUGUUUUCUUGGAACAUCACUGAAAGUCCACUGUUUACGACUCUGUGCUUUCAGUGCAAGAGGCUUGGGUUCUGAAGCAGGAGGAAGAUGAGUAAAGUGAUAGGAGAGUCAUUCCCUGUGAACAGAAACUCUAAGACAAGAAUAGCAGGACAAUUAAGAAAGGAAGACUGAGGGCAGCCACAGAAAACUUACAUAGCAGGUAAACUCCUAAAUGUAGCUGGACUGUCCCCCACUCCUUCCCUAAUACUUUAAUCUCUGUCCUAACUCUGUAACUUUGCAAGAAUAUUUGCCUCCAUCUGGAAUGUCCUCUUUACUCUCCACCUCUAAAUUAAUAUCUAAACCUUUCUCCAGCUUCCCAGGUGACAUAGUGGUAAAGAAUCCACCUGCCAAUGCAGGAGACUCAAGAGACAUGGGGUCCAUCCCUGGGCCAGAAAUAUCCCCUGGAGAAGGAAAUGGCAACCCAUGCCAGUAUUACUGCUUGGAAAAUUCCAUGGGCAGAGUAGCCUGGCAGGCUACAGUCCAAAGGGUCGCAAAGAGCUGGACACGACUGAGCACGCAGGCAAACUUUUCUCAAAGCCUAAUUCAGGUUUCUAAUUCAGGUUUCUCUACUCCUUGAGGCUCCCUGAAUGAUUCCAGCCCACAUAAAUCUCCUGAAUAGACUAGUAUAUGUUUACUAUAUAAAUGAUAUCACUUAGUCCUUAAAAAAAGAGACAGCAAGGAGGCUGGGCCCUGUGCAGGCCACACAUUUCUCAUUCUCAAAGUCAGGAGACCUCUUAGACUAUACAUGCGCAGAAAGGCUACUUAGAGGUCAAAAGAGAAGAAGGCCAAGAGAUAGUCUACCCAAACACCUCUGUGAUAGAAUCUAUUUUACCUAAGAAUGCAUACACACACAUGGGAGGAGGAUCUUGAGAUAUACCAAAUACAGACUCCGAACCAGGCAAGUCAAAAUAAUUGGCCAAAGGAAACCCAGAAGAAAUGUCUCAUAACAGUGAUUAAAACUGCCACAAGGGCAAGAUUCAGGGACUCUCACUCUGAGUCUGCCCGUGUGUCUAUUCACACAUAUGGUACUCUUUUUCCUCCUAAUAAAUAUUUAACUUGUUUCAUUACUUUCUGUCUUUGUGGGAAUUCUUUUCCUCAAAACCAAAGGACCAGGGCCUUGUCACUGACCACUGGUCAGGUGGCUAGGAUUUGGUGCUCUCAUUGCUGUGACCCAGCCUCAAUCUCUGGCUGGAGAACAGAAGCCCCCCUACAAGUCACUGCAGGCUGAGGCCACCUGAGAUCAUACCAACCCUGAUUGAGGAACAAGAUCCCACAUGCCAUUCGGUGCAGUCAAAAUUAAAAAGAAAAGAAAGUAAGAGAAUUCUUGACCUAUCAUAAAAAAUACAAAUUAAAAUUUAAAAAAAGAAACUGAAGAAUGGAUGAUUUAAAAAAACCAAAGAAAAAAAAAGAUUAAUGACUAUAUCAUUUACCCCAGAGCAACAACAAAACAGAAAGCUUUGGUUUUGUGUUUGUUAUGUAUUAUUUGUUUGAAAAGUAUUGUACACCUAUUACAGUACAGUACUGUAUAGCCAUGGAGAAGGAAAUGGCAAUCCACUCCAGUCUUUUUGCCUGGAGAAUUCCCAUGGACAGAGGAGCCUGGCAGGCUACAGUCCAUGGGUUCGCAAGAGUCAGACACGACUUAGCGACUAAACCACCACCACCACUGUAGAGCCAAUUGUGUUAGUUGGGUACCCAGGCUAACUUUAUUGGACUUAGGAACAAACUGGACUUACCAACAUUCUCUCUGAAUGGAACUUUGAGGAUUUACUAUACUUCGGACAGAACAGAAACUGGAGGACAACAUCUGACACACCUAGCUGUGGCUUCCAAGGCAAGCAUUAAGCUCCUGUGGGCUUCCUGCCUGGCAGCCUGCCAGAAACCACAGCCCAAAACAAACUUCCUGCUCCAGACCGCUUUGCCCCCACACCUUAAAAACUCUACAGGUACACAUUACGUGCUGUCUCUCCAGACAAUAGACUCUGCCUUGUGUGGGCAAAGAACCCACCUGGAGUUGGUCAGGGGGUGGGGGGAUUACUUGUCUCAAGCCAAGACAGCAGUGGGCAUGGCCGUUGCUGGUAAUGGGACUUGAGGUCACCCCAGGGACCAAACCUAUACUUCCUUUUCAGUUAUGAACAAGUCCACUGCCACCACUCAGAAAAACUACCCAUGACUAUCCCCUCACAACUCCCCAGUUGUGCAAGAUUUCCAGAGGGCAGGGGCAAGGGGCCCCUGUGGGCCUGCAGGUGGAUUCACCUUGGAGAGCGGGUGCCAGAUGAUAAAUAACAGUGUUAAAUGAAGUGCAAAUGUCACUUUCAAAUAUAAAACAUGAAGUCCUUAGGAAAAACCAUUCUAAUCAGGAUGUCCAACCCAGAAGCUAUAAGUAGAACAAAAGUGUUAACACUAAAAAUGCAACUUCUGUAGGGCAAACACAUUCAAAAUUCCCUUACAAACCCUAGUCUUUUUUCUAAGUGUUGGAGUUAGGCCAAGUUUCUUUUCUUUUCUUUUCUUUUUUUGGCUCUCCCAAAGAAACUUUUUAAAGAUUAUUCAGGGGAAUCACUGAAGGGAAAUUACCCAGAACUCCGUUUAUCUUAUCUAAAAUCUCUUACCUGAAGCAGGUCAACCCUGAGAGCUCUAUCCUAGUUUUAAAUCAUAUUUUGUCGGUGUCCAACAAGCUCCCUACUGGCUCUUCGUCUCAAUGUGUAAACAAAUUUCAAAUGUCAACAAAUGAAACUAUUGGAGAACCUUGGCGUCCUUGAACUUACUUCCUGUAACCUUCAACUAAAAACUUGUUCUGAAUUUCAGUGGCCUUUGUUCUGUUGCCUUCCACUGUUAAUAUUAAAAAAAAAAAAAAAAAGCCCUGACCAGACAUUCCCCAGGUCCUAUUAAGGGAAAAAGCGGGGGAGGAAGGAACAAGUUUAUUUCAAGGCUCUACAAAAAGUCUUAUCCAUCAGUCAUUGCGAACUUUCCUAAGGGAAGCUGUUCUUCCAGUUUGCCAAAACACACAUCACACACUGCUUUAAGAAAGGGCAGCCCUAACCUACUUCACCAGGCUAUUGCAAAAGAGUAAAAAUUCCCGUCCUACCAGACGCUUCCGCGGAGACACACUACAGCACACAAAGUCCCAGUUCUCAUCAACUUUGCCAAAGGAAAGCUGCCAGACUUUUCAUCAGGUCACGCCGAAGGGAGCAACCCUCGGGAUGUCCCUAAGCAAAGUUUGCAAAACACUGGGGAUCUGCCACCAAAGUUGCGGUCCUGGGGCUUCAUUCUUGGGCGAGUCUCUGGGUCUGGGCGAUCCCGCGCCCAAACGGGACUGAGUCACCUGCUAGAAGUCCCACCCCUCCCCUGCCCCCUGCCCCACACCCCCGCCCAGGCGCAGUGCCAGGAAGCGCCAGUCCGGGUGAACUCGAGAGGCAACGUGGGAGGGUCGGGGGUGGGGGUGGGGGGGUGCACCUACCGUCCAGCCUGCGGUGAGGCUCUCCUCUGGCUGCAGCCCAGACUUCACUCCGACGCCUGAAAAUCCGCAGGCAAGAUGGAGAAAAAGAAACCGAAAGUCUGAAAGCAGACGUGGCUUUCCUGUCCAGUCCGCAAGCGCUCUGGGCUUCCUCUCCCUGGACUUGUCUCUGAUCCUAUAAAAACUUUUCACUUUAUGAAAGUCUGAUGGUCCGACAUUCACUGUGUUAGACCCCACUCACCCGCCCUUCCAGUAGAACCGGUGCCAGGCCACAGCCCCCUUGUCGUCUAUUUCCUGUUUUUACUUCUCUACGUGUUUGCUAAGAACUCUGGGCGGUUGCUUACCAAGCAGUUCUAGUUGUCUCUAGCAACAAGCACUAGCAGUUUUGUUGCUGAUGUACUGGAAAAUAAUAAAUAGCAAAUGUAAAAGCGCUAUAUGCUUUAAUGCUCACAACUACUUUCUUCUGAUUUUUUUUUUAAGUUUCUGAACUUAUCUUGAAAAAUAUUUAAACUUACAGGAAAGUUGCAAAAAUAACUGCAAAUGGAAAUAUUCCAUUUCCCAGAGCCCUACUUGGAUUUCUAUAAUACCAGAUAACAACAUCAGAAGAGGUUU